rnacentral:rRNA from 1 species
ACUGCCGGUGUCAAACCGGAGGAAGGUGGGGAGUGACGUCAAGUCCUCAUGGCCCUUAUGUCCAGGGCUACACACGUGCUACAAUGGCCGGUACAAAGGGGCGCAAGACCGCGAGGUGGAGCAAAUCCCAAAAAACCGGUCUCAGUUCGGAUUGGAGUCUGCAACUCGACUCCAUGAAGUUGGAAUCGCUAGUAAUCGCGUAUCAGCAUGACGCGGUGAAUACGUUCCCGGGCCUU